UUUCCCUAGUAGCGGCGAGCGAAGCGGGAAGAGCUCAAAUUUAUAAUCUGGCACCUUCGGUGUCCGAGUUGUAAUCUCUAGAAAUGUUUUCCGCGUUGGACCGCACACAAGUCUGUUGGAAUACAGCGGCAUAGUGGUGAGACCCCCGUAUAUGGUGCGGACGCCCAGCGCUUUGUGAUACAUUUUCGAAGAGUCGAGUUGUUUGGGAAUGCAGCUCAAAUUGGGUGGUAAAUUCCAUCUAAAGCUAAAUAUUGGCGAGAGACCGAUAGCGAACAAGUACCGUGAGGGAAAGAUGAAAAGCACUUUGGAAAGAGAGUUAACAGUACGUGAAAUUGUUGGAAGGGAAACGCUUGAAGUCAGACUUGCUUGCCGAGCAAUCGGUUUGCAGGCCAGCAUCAGUUUUCCGGGAUGGAUAAUGGUAGAGAGAAGGUAGCAGUUUCGGCUGUGUUAUAGCUCUCUGCUGGAUACAUCUUGGGGGACUGAGGAACGCAGUGUGCCUUUUGGCGGGGGUUUCGACCUCUUCACACUUAGGAUGCUGGUGGAAUGGCUUUAAACGACCCGUCUUGAAACACGGACCAAGGAGUCUAACAUGCUUGCGAGUAUUUGGGUGUCAAACCCGGAUGCGUAAUGAAAGUGAAUGGAGGUGGGAACCGCAAGGUGCACCAUCGACCGAUCUGGAUUUUUAAUGAUGGAUUUGAGUAAGAGCACGUAUGUUGGGACCCGAAAGAUGGUGAACUAUGCCUGAAUAGGGCGAAGCCAGAGGAAACUCUGGUGGAGGCUCGUAGCGGUUCUGACGUGCAAAUCGAUCGUCAAAUUUGGGUAUAGGGGCGAAAGACUAAUCGAACCAUCUAGUAGCUGGUUCCUGCCGAAGUUUCCCUCAGGAUAGCAGAAACUCACAUCAGUUCUAUGAGGUAAAGCGAAUGAUUAGAGGCCUUGGGGUUGAAACAACCUUAACCUAUUCUCAAACUUUAAAUAUGUAGGAAGUCCUUGCUACUUAAUUGAGCGAGGACAUGCGAAUGAGAGUUUCUAGUGGGCCAUUUUUGGUAGCCAAAAACUGGGGAGGG
rnacentral:rRNA from 1 species